rnacentral:rRNA from 1 species
GAUGAACGCUGGCGGCGUGCCUAAUACAUGCAAGUCGAGCGAACGGACGAGAAGCUUGCUUUUCUGAUGUUAGCGGCGGACGGGUGAGUAACACGUGGAUAACCUACCUAUAAGACUGGGAUAACUUCGGGAAACCGGAGCUAAUACCGGAUAAUAUUUUGAACCGCAUGGUUCAAAAGUGAAAGACGGUCUUGCUGUCACUUAUAGAUGGAUCCGCGCUGCAUUAGCUAGUUGGUAAGGUAACGGCUUACCAAGGCAACGAUGCAUAGCCGACCUGAGAGGGUGAUCGGCCACACUGGAACUUAGACACGGUCCAGACUCCUACGGGAGGCAGCAGUAGGGAAUCUUCCGCAAUUGGCGAAAGCCUUACGGAGCAACGCCGCGUGAGUGAUGAAGGUCUUCGGAUCUUAAAACUCUGUUAUUAGGGAAGAACAUAUGUGUAAGUAACUGUGCACAUCUUGACGGUACCUAAUCAGAAAGCCACGGCUAACUACGUG